CCAGAGUAGUGCUAACUGGAAGUAGAGUGGUGAGUUCGCUCUUGGGAAUAAGCGCGGUGUAGUUUUUUUUGAUGUACUCUGCGUUGACAUCGCAGGAUUUACGUUUUCCUGUUGAUUUAGGAACAGGGCUGGAAAUCGUAAAGAGAGGCGACAAGACUGACUCCAGAAGCACAGGUCCGGGAAUAGACAGACCUCAGAGACUCGCAGUCUAAAGCAGAUUGCCCCGUCGUGAAGAAACCCCUUCGGAAGACCUGAAGCAAUUCCGCCGAGAGCAGAAAAUGGCUCAUGACCAGUCUCUGCUGGUUGUGCAGCAGGCCCUGAAGAAGUGCUUCCCUGUGGUGGAGGAACAGCAGGACCUGUGGCAGAGCACCCUGCAGGACUGCUCGCCCCUCCUGUCCUCUCUCAGUAACCUGGCUGAGCAGCUGCAAGCUGCACAGAGUCUGCGGUUUGAGGAUGUGCCAGCCCUUCGUCCCUUUCCAGACUUACAGGAGCGGUUGAGGUGCAAGCAGCUGGAGGCUGGUGACGUUGUCCUGGACAAGCUAGCUGAGAGGCUAGCCACCCUCCUCAAGGUCCGUAACACCAUCAGCAGCCAUGUGGAGCAGGUAUUUCAGGCCUAUGAGCAGCAUGCGGCUGUGCUGGACAUUGAUGCCGUCCUGCGCCCCUCAGUUGUGAGCCCCUCUGUGGCUGACAUGUUGGAGUGGCUGCAAGACAUCGACAGACAUUAUGGAAGCUCAUAUCCUUCGAGUGCUUCCUGACUGACUGCCCAGAGCUGCCCCUAGAGGCCGCAGCAGGGUCAGACUUCACAGGAUGUCCUGCUGAGUGUCUCCUUCUUCCU
ensembl:processed_transcript